rnacentral:tRNA from 1 species
GCGUCAAUAGUCUAACGGUAUGAUACGAGCUUCCCAAGCUUGGGACCCGGGUUCAAUUCCCGGUUGACGCACCA